CCAUCCUUCACUGCCUCCUAAGGCAGCCCACUUCCUCUCUGCACACUCCCAAAGGAAGUCUUCCCAAGACUGAGCCCUGAAGAUCUAUGCUCAGCUACCGUUCACAGCUCCUUUCCUCUCCGUAUAGAACCAGCACGUGAGUCCCCGAUGACCUUCGACACCCUCUUACAAGCGCGCUCCUGCUUGUCAACCUCCCUCAAACAAUGGUCAGGGCCAUUUGCCUGUUUGUUCUCCAGUCAUUCCCUGCCCGUUCUUCUCUGUACCAUAGGGGAUGAGCCCUGCAAAUUCGUGUCCCAGGAGCUCCUGGUACUGGUUCCAACAAGGCGGAGCUAAAUGGGAGGCCCUGGUGAGAGACUGGAGGGGGAGAAAAAGGAGAAGGCAGGGGACUUCUCUCCACCUCCCCUGCUUUCAGGGGCGUCUCGGGCAAUGGCUGCAUUUCCUUCAUGAUUUAAGCCCCGACCUCCUAUGGGCCCUCCCACUGUGGUUCCAGGUCCUGUCAGGUGGCCCCUAGACCCAGGUCUGGGAACAUCCUCUCCUCUUUUGACCCCUCCAGCCCAAGGGUGGGUGGUGGCUUCCAGCUGCAGCUACACUCUGGGUGGCCUGCCCCUCUCCUGUUCCCCUGCAGCCCUUCUGGCCUUUGCACAGCCCCUCCCCACAUUCAGCCUCUCACUUCAACUACUUGGCCUGGGUUCUGUUUCCUCAAAAGACACUGGCUAACACAGCCUCCUCAUCUUAGGGGCUCAACCCACAUUAUAUACAACAUGUCCGCACCCCACAUAUUUUACAUGGGAAAAUACUACACGAGUUGAGUUGCGGUUGACUAGUCAACAAAAUGGUAGAUUUUGUAGCUGUUUAAUUUUAAUUUCAGAUAAAGUUUUCUUUUUUGCAUUGGGUAGCCAAUGGUUUUUUCCAGCCCUUGGAACAUUUUUGCAACCCUUAGAAAGCUCUUGGAAAAAACGCCUUUGAUGGUGGUGACUGAGGGGAACAAAGUGCCCCAAAGAGCAACUGCAAGGGCCGGAUGGGGCAGUAGCUCCCUCAGUGAGAGGGGACAGUACUGGGCAGUUGCUCUCUCAGUGAAGAGCCAAGAGGAAGAGGAGCCCAAAGACCAGCGCACUCCUCAUCGGUACCCUUUUGCCAGUGACUCUCCCCUUUCCCAUCCAACAAGGUGGAGUCUUUGUCCUUCAAGAGGCCCAGAGCUCAGGAGGAACCUGCUUCUAUGAGAUGGAUUUUCUCCACGGCCUGAAAGGCAAGAGGAUCAUAAAUGUGCCAAUGGAAUUCAGAUUUCCCAAGUUGUUCAACCACCACAAUAAAGCUAAAAGCAAAACUCCGCUGGAAGGGAGCGGAGACUUUAAUGCAGGAGGCUGCGCGGCAGUGAGAAGACGAAUCGGGCCUCUGACAGCCCCUCCUCUGCAAAUGGAUUUGGCUGCAGUGAGCUGGGCCCUUGCAGCACGGCAAGACUGAGCCCUGUGGCUGAGCUGGGUGGCUCACCCCUGGGAGGGCGUGGCCACACCCAGAAGAGAACACUGCUGAGCCCUGAGGGCAGCACCCAGCCACCAAGCACCAAGUUUUCUCAUAAGGCCCAUGGGCAGUUUAAACUCCAUCCUUGGGGCUGGCCCCAUGGCCAAGUGGUUAAGUUCGUGCGCUCCUGCUGCGGGUGGCCCAGGGUUUCGCCAGUUCGAAUCCUGGGCGCAGACAAGGCACCGCUUAUCAAGCCACGCUGAGGCAGCAUCCCACAUGCCAGAACUAGAAGGACCCACAACUAAAAAAAUACACAACUAUACGCUGGGGGGCUUUGGGGAGAAAAAGGAAAAAUAAAAUCUUAAAAAAAAAAAACAAAAAAACUCCAUCCUGGUCUUGCGACCAGUUCCAGAGUGGCUGGGACCCACGGUCCAUCUUGUAGGCAAGGUGAGGAGCUGGGCCCUGGCAGGUACAGAGGGAAGUGGCCAAUAUAGUGGUCACAGCUGGGCUUAGUGCGGAAUGCACGCCAGUCUGACUGGUCCCCCACUCACUCCUCCUCUGGCCCUUGGCUGGUGGCGUUGGGGAACUUGAUGCUGUGACACUCUCGUCCCCUCACCCCCGUUGUGGACAGCAGUGGGAAGGGAGAUGAAAGCCCCUUGGUUGGACAUGGACCAACUGGGGACUGUUGUGAAGAGAGAACUAAGACAACACAGUGUGUCACGUGAAGGAGGAAACAAGAAGAAGGGACAGAGGGACACGGAUCCAGCCUCUAGCCAUUUGAGGGACAUCUAGCAAGAAGGGUUUAUUGAACAGCUAUCAAGUGUCCACCACUGUAACUGGGACACCCCCUGGGGCUGCUGACUUCACUGAAUGUUCCAGAACACCUUGUAUUGACCUGAGAACAGCCUGGUCAAUGGAAGUGUCAUUGGAUCAUGUGCUUUUGUCUUAUGUAAUAGGGAGGAGCAGCUGCCCAGGGGUCGGGCGGGGUGAAGAGAAAGAUCAUGCCAGCAAGGCCGGGAGCCAGGCUGUAAGAGGUGCUUGAGGUGGAGCGGAAUGGGUGAACUAUGCUGGCUUCCAGCCCCUCACCCCUGCCAAGAUGCCCAGCACCCAUCAGGUGUGCCACUUCUGCUCACCGUCUGCCAUGAAUAAGUCUCCUGCCUCUGGGUUGGCCCCUGGAGUCUGUCUGUUCCCCUGUGGGCCCGGCCAGUCUGCUCCUGUCCUGUCCUCCCCUUUGGCACCUGGACCUGUCUCCUUAGAACCCAUCCAGUCACCUCUUCUGCCUGCGGCAUCCUCAGCAGGAAGCUGAGGCUCACAAGGUCCUCGAGAAAGGACACGAAGAGUUGUUAGCAUGGCAUUGAGGGCCAUAUGCUCUCUGUCCUCUCCCCAGAUUGAUAUCUGCCCUCCCCCAAGACAUCCUGAGGAAUACUUCCACGUUUGGGAAGAAAAAUGUUAUAACUGAUAACCAAGACACUUGAGAAUAUACAAAAUCAGCUUCACAAAUUCCAUUGUUUUUGUUCCUGUCUUGAAAAACUUUUGGAAAGAGACAGAGAGCCCACAGUCUGGAAAGAAG
ensembl:lncRNA